rnacentral:rRNA from 1 species
UACGUAGGGUGCGAGCGUUGUCCGGAAUUAUUGGGCGUAAAGGGCUCGUAGGCGGUUUGUCGCGUCGGGAGUGAAAUCCACUGGCUUAACUGGUGGCUUGCUUUCGAUACGGGCAGACUGGAGGUAUGCAGGGGAGAACGGAAUUCCUGGUGUAGCGGUGAAAUGCGCAGAUAUCUGGAGGAACACCAGUGGCGAAGGCGGUGUUCUGGGCCUGUACUGACGCUGAUGCGCGAAAGCGUGGGGAGCGAACGGG